rnacentral:tRNA from 2 species
GCGGUCAUCGUAUAACGGCGAUUACCUCAGCGUUGCAGGCUGAUGAUGCGGGUUCGAUUCCCGCUGACUGCGCCA